GUCAGUGAAAUAGUGCCAAUUGUUUGUAUGGACUUGUUGUCUAGAAGCUCAUCCAACCUUCCUAGCACUGUCGAAGAUUUGGUUGCUAUUGGAGAUGGUAAAGGGCACAUGACAAUUGUCAGCAUUGUUGGUGAUAUUCAUACUCCUAAAGUCGGCAUCACUUUGACUUGGUCAGCUGGAGUAGAGAGACAACUUUUGGGAACAUAUUGGUGCAGAUCACUAGGUAGUAGGUAAAUGACCAUUCCUUGUCUUUAAAUAAUAAUUAUGUUUAAGCUAGAAGUACAUCUUAGUUGUUUGUAGGGUGAUGGGAUAUAUCAUAUAGAUCCCAUUAUCUCCCUUGCUUGCUGCUAAAUAUCUUGAGUUUGAUUAUGAACUGAUUGAAGCAUCACUUAUUUAAUAGUUUUGUGUGCUGGUUUUGCUAAGGGCUCUAGAAAUCAUUUAAGUUCUAAUCAUCAGAUUGAUUUUCUUAGCCAAUAUGUGGAUGGAAUUCAAAUGGGAGGUUCCCCAUGUUUUACUAAUGUUAGUUGAUAAAUACCUCACUGUUCCUACUUCACUGUUAAUCUGUAGAAGCUUGUAAAAGCUCACAAGUAUUCGAUGCUUUUUAUCAUGUAGAUUCAUCUUUACUUCUAAUAUUGAUAUUGCAAGUCUUUUUUCUUUCUUUUGUGGGUGCUUUGUGCUUUUUCUGUGGAGUGUAAUGAUUCAGGAGUCCACUUUGUCCAAAUUCAGGUCUGAAGUUCAAAGCUCACAGGUCAGAAAUUAAUUAGAAAGAUGCAAAAUAUAGUCAAAGAAUUCAAGAAGUUUGUGCUUCAAAUUUUUUGGUGGCUGUGGGGAAAGGAUUGGGGCACUUUAACAACUGGAUAAAUUACAUUAUUUUUGGUGUGAUCUAAAUGUCAGAAAUUUCUUGGAGAGAUGCAAAAAUAUGGUCAAAGAAUUCAAGAACUUACUUUUUUC